rnacentral:rRNA from 1 species
UGGGGAAUAUUGGGCAAUGGACGCAAGUCUGACCCAGCGACGCCGCGUGCGGGAUGAAGGCCUUCGGGUUGUAAACCGCUUUCAGUAGGGAAGAAGCGAAAGUGACGGUACCUACAAAAGAAGCACCGGCUAACUAUGUGCCAGCAGCCGCGUAAU